rnacentral:rRNA from 1 species
CCUACGGGUGGCAGCAGUGGGGAAUAUUGGGCAAUGGACGCAAGUCUGACCCAGCAACGCCGCGUGAAGGAAGAAGGCUUUCGGGUUGUAAACUUCUUUUAAUGGGGAAGAGCAGAAGACGGUACCCCUUGAAUAAGCCACGGCUAACUACGUGCCAGCAGCCGCGGUAAUACGUAGGGGGCAAGCGUUAUCCGGAUUUACUGGGUGUAAAGGGAGCGCAGACGGCUGUGCAAGUCUGGAGUGAAAGGCGGGGGCCCAACCCCCGAACUGCUCUGGAAACUGUAAAGCUGGAGUGCAGGAGAGGUAAGCGGAAUUCCUAGUGUAGCGGUGAAAUGCGUAGAUAUUAGGAAGAACACCAGUGGCGAAGGCGGAUUACUGGACGACAACUGACGGUGAGGCGCGAAAGCGUGGGGAGCAAACAGGAUUAGAUACCCUUGUAGUC